GAUUAACGCUGGCGGCGUGCAUAACACAUGCAAGUCGAACGAUGAAACUUUAAUGAACCCUUCGGGGAGAAUUAAAGCGGCUUAGUGGCGAACGGGUGAGUAACGCGUGAGUAACCUGCCUUACACAAGGGGAUAGCCUUUGGAAACGAAGAAUAAUACCCUAUAAAACCAUAAAAGCACAUGCAAUUAUGGUCAAAGUGAUAGCGGUGUAAGAUGGACUUGCGUCUGAUUAGCUAGUUGGUGAGAUAAAAGCCCACCAAGGCAACGAUCAGUAGCCGGCUUGAGAGAGUGUACGGCCACAUUGGGACUGAGACACGGCCCAGACUCCUACGGGAGGCAGCAGUGGGGAAUUUGGCACAAUGGGGGAAACCCUGAUGCAGCGACGCCGCGUGAUUUAGAAGGCCUUCGGGUUGUAAAAAUCUUUUGUAUAGGAAGAAAAUGACAGUACUAUACGAAUAAGGGCCGGCUAAUUACGUG
rnacentral:rRNA from 1 species